AUGACACUGACAAUCUAGCCUAGCGUACGGAGGGGAAUUCAGUUGGCGGACAUCAAUCGCACUGAUAUGGAUUGCUCAGCCUUACGUUGCCCUUCCAAAGAAUCUCAGGAAGGCGCCGCGUAACACUACGUCUGCCUCUAUGUGAAGCCCAAAGCGACAGAAUUCCGAAGAAAGUCCAUACUACUACUCUUUCUCCAGAUUUUCAUUACUUUCUCAAUUCCUCUUCUAUUUUCCUUAAAUCUCUUCCGAUCUUCUCUCCUGCGUCUGAGUUUAUGUGCUUCGCCGAAAAAGUUAUCAGGUUAGUUAUGUUUUGCCUGGAAUUUCGCUUCCUUUACCCCAACUUUUGUGUAUUUCUCUGAGAAUAAGGGUCUUAUAUGUGUUUGAGAAAGUUCUUCAAUGAAUCAGACUUUCUAUUCAAUUUCUAUUAUUGUUUUUGGAUUUAGUUUCUUGCUUUGAUCGGGCGAAGAAUAGUUUAAUAAUUUUGAUUUUGGAUAAACGGUGCGCCGAACAGGGAUAGAUUUUGAGGUUCUUGCGUGUGGUAUGUCGAUUUCAUUGUUUUUGGUUCUCUAACGUGUUUGAUUUUAUUAUUAAGAAUUGAAUUUUAUGAUUUGCCGGUAAACUCUUUGGAAUGGAUUUUACUAUUUUUAGCAGAAGUAGAAGGGACUAUCAGUUCAGGAUUUUACUAUUUUUAGCAGAAGUAGAAGGGACUAUCAGUUCAGGUACGAACAUAAUUGAACUAGAAUAUGAGAAAUUGCCUCAAUGGACUAUAUUUUCUUUAGAUAUACAAAGUAGGGAAGGUAUUUAUGUUGCAGCUGUUAGUUCUAUUUCACAAAAAAACUAACGGGAGGAUAUAACUUGCUAAUCUAUAUAUAUUGAAGGCCAUAAGAGAGGUAAUGUGGCACUUUAUUAGGCUAGAAUUCCUAUUUAUCUUUUACCUCCAUUUUUUAGGCUUUCCCCCCCUUUAUUUUUUAUUUUAAUUUAAUUUUAAUGUAAUAUUUUAAAAGUCGAAAAGUCACCUCAUUAAUUCUCUAUAUAAUUGUACCUGUUCAGACUACUAAAAUCCUAAAAGUCACUAUUAGAUAAACAACGUUACUCUAUAAGAAUUAAAGUAAUAAUUAUUAUUUAUCCUUGUGAUUUUAUGUGUAGUUUAUUUCUUUUUCUUGGACUAGGAAGGAAAGGAGGUACAUUGCAGCGUUGUGGGUAACAGGUAUCAAUAUUUAUUCCACUCGUAUGUUAAAACCAGUACAAUAGUUGAUAAUUGACAGUAUUAAGAUCACUUGGUGCAGAGCAGUUCUUCACUUCUUGGAUAUGACAGCAAAUGUGACCAAGAGAUUCUUGGUGAUGAGAAUUGGGAGUUGCCUUGCUCUAUUCGACGUCUUUGGGUAUCCAAUCUGAAAACAUUAAGCAGCCAAGUUAUCAAAAGCCUCACCUCACUUGAAUUUCUAUUUACUUACAAUUUACCUCAAAUUCAGUCACUGCUAGAAGAAGAUCUUCCCUCGUGUCUUUCUCAUCUAACAUUAAAUGAUCAUCAUGAGCUCCAUUCACUACAAACCGAAGGUCUUAGGCGCCUCACUUCGCUUCGAAGCCUAAAGAUAUACCACUGCCAUCAACUCCAAUCCAUUCCAGAAUCAGCCUCCCUCUUUGAGUUGUUUAUUGAAAACUGCCCUAAUCUCCAAUCUCUUCAAGUAAAAAGAAAACCGUCCGUCCUCUCUCUGCUGCAUAUCUGUCACUGUGGUAAUCUCCAACCUCUUCCAGAAUCAGCGCUGCCUUCCUCCCUAUCUAAGCUGUUUUCUUUCAUUGCCCUAAACUCCAUUCUCUUCCUGUAAAAGGGAUGCCCUCUUCCAUCUCUACACUAUGGAUUCACAACUGUCCAUUGCUCAAACCAAGUCUAGAAUUUGAGGAGGGGGAUUACUGGCCAAAUAUUUCUCAAAUUCCCACCAUAAAAGUCGAUGAGGAAUACCUCUAAUGAUUAUGACGAGUGGUGCUCUGAUAAAUUGAGUUGAGAUGGUUCACUCCUGAGAUUUGAUCUGUCUUCUGGGACUUAAAUGUCUAAGUGAAGAAAGGAUUCUGGCAUCAGUACAAAGUUUGCUAGAUCAGAUGUUGCUCAAUAUGGGAAGGAAAAGAUGGGUAGAGAGUUGUCAAGGUUCACUCCUAUAGGAAUACGGGGACUAGUUUUGAAAUAUUCCAGAGACCUUUUUUCCCCACUCAAUGUGGUAGUACGAGGAUGUAGUUCAACUUUUGGACUAUAAUUAAAGAAUGUUUUCCCAUUUAUUGGUUAGGUAAUUAAGGAGUUCAUUUGAUCAAUAUGGUAGUAAGACGAUAAAGCUCAAGAUAAUCUGAAGCCUUCAGAAGAAAGGGAAGAUUUUUAAAUUUUAAUUUAGUUUCUCCAAGUGCUAAGCGAUUAGACAAACCUCUGUCUUCGUAUAACCAAAAUAUGAAUAUAUGAAGGAAGAAACUCUUUACUCGCUCAAGUAGUAUAUUCAAAUUGAAUAACUCAGUCUCUUAUAUCUUGGAACAUUGUGGUAACUUGUGUGAUUUAAAUACAUUAUACAACUAUAACAAAAGGAGCAUUGUUAUUUGUAUUUAAAUUUACAGUAAAGUUUGAACAAAAGAGUUCUUAUUUUGGGAUCACAACUCAGUGGUGUUGUUCCAUGUGCAUGAGUGAUAACUAACCUUCCUCAAGUCCGAAAAAUGCUGAUAACUUGUGUUUACUGACACAUUGUGCUAAAAGAUGUGCAUAAAGUUUCCUCUUUGGUGGUUGAGGUUAGAUAAAGAAAACAUAUUCUACUUUUAACUUGUUUCCUCUCUUUGUGAAACUCCUGUAGUACCAAAGAGUGUGAAACAUAUAUUGCGGUGCAUUUCUGAAAUAACUAAAUAAAUAUGUUUCGCGUUGAAAGUAGGAGAUAUGUCUCAACUAUGACUAUCAUUUGAAAGUAGAGUCAAAUGUUUGGAAUCACAAUCUCCAUGCUUAUAAGUUCGAGUCUUCAGAAGACAUUUAAAGCAUGAAUGUGCAGUACGCCCACCAGGUAGAAUAGAAGCAGCAACACCAGAAGUCACAAGAAACUUUUUCUUCAUAUGCUUAUUUGGAAUUUACAUCUAAUACUAACAAUUGUUGUGACCAUGAAAACAUAUAGUUGCUUUAGCUGCAUUUUGAUAUAAGUACAUAUACUUCUCGCACUUGAAUACGCAUUUCAUAUUAUGUGUUCUGCUCAUGAAGACAAACAAAGCUCUUCUUUUACACUUUAUUCUCAAUUUGAGUUACUGGAAUCUUGCUAUGGGCAAAGUGCCAGUGUAUAAUUUUACUUUCUGUAACCAAUCUUUCUUAUAGUUACUUUUGGAAUUCUUUGUUAAAAUCAUUGUAUACUUUAGGUUGGACUAUAACAAAGAAAAGAUAGAGACAGCGAGUGACACAGUGAUUGGAAACAAGUAGUAUUUCGGUUAUGUUGUAUGACAAAAGCUACUGUUACUGCACAAAAUACUCAUGCUCAAUUAUGUUUUAUUUGUAUUGCAAGGUUAACGAUAAAAUUUUGGACAAGCUCUAAACUUUGUUGCUUAAGAGGCCAACGUAAUUUGUAUUCUGCUUAUUGCUUAAGAGAAAAUAUAGUUGUUUUGCACUCUGCUUAGAUAAAAUCUGAAUAUACUACAUAGAUGUUGGGACCGGGCAUACCGAAGUUGGUCGACCAAGGGUAGUUUCGAAAUUCCGCAUAUAUUAAGGGAUAAAUUGGUAAUUCUGCCACUUAUGCCAUAGAUACAUCUUUGCAUAUUCCGUAGCUAUCAAUAUCUCUCUCUAUAAGAAGCACUCCCUCAAUCUCUCUCUUCAUAAGCAAACAUACUUCUUCAUCCUAAGGUGCUUCUUUUCUUUUUUCAAUUAUUGUUAUGUUUUUGUCUGCUUCGUAUUCUCUAUCUCUGUUUCACAAGCCAUAUAUGUAGGUUAUAGUUUCCAAAGGGCAACAAUGCAGACGAAGAAGAUAAAUUUUUCAGAAAUUGAGUAUACUAAAGGAGCCAGUCUUCCCUAUAUCGUGACAAAGAAAUAACAAAUAUUGAAGUAGACUAUGCACAUAUGGUAUUUGAUGAUAUGCCUUACCCAUCUAAUGUUGUUGUGUGCUUACUAAUUCCUUUGAGCAUUUGCUUUUACUAUUUUGUUUCUUUUUUUGAUGUUGUUAUUUAUUUACACUUUUUAUACAUCGAAUCUAAAAAAUGAUGCACUUUUUUAUCGAAACAGUUUGUGUAUUUACCUUUUGAUC